GCCGGGGUGGCGGAACUGGUAGACGCGCCGGAUUCAAAAUCCGGUUCCUUUACGGGAGUGCGAGUUCGAUUCUCGCCCUCGGUACCA
rnacentral:tRNA from 2 species